rnacentral:rRNA from 1 species
GUGAGGAAUAUUGGUCAAUGGAGGCAACUCUGAACCAGCCAAGUCGCGUGAAGGAUGAAGGUCUUAUGGAUUGUAAACUUCUUUUGCAGGGGAAUAAAGUGCAGGACGUGUCCUGUUUUGUAUGUACCCUGAGAAUAAGGAUCGGCUAACUCCGUGCCAGCAGCCGCGGUAAUACGGAGGAUCCGAGCGUUAUCCGGAUUUAUUGGGUUUAAAGGGUGCGUAGGUGGUUUGAUAAGUCAGCGGUGAAAGUUUGCAGCUUAACUGUAAAAAUGCCGUUGAAACUGUCGGACUUGAGUGUAAAUGAGGUAGGCGGAAUGCGUGGUGUAGCGGUGAAAUGCAUAGAUAUCACGCAGAACUCCGAUUGCGAAGGCAGCUUACUAAGCUACAACUGACACUGAAGCACGAAAGCGUGGGGAUCAAACAGGAUUAGAAACCCGGGUAGUCC